ensembl:miRNA
ACUGGGUUGGCCAAAUUGUUCAUUUGGGUUUUUCCGUAACAUCUUAUGGAAAAACUUGAGUGAACUUUUGGGUCAGCCCAG